GGGCACUUAGCUCAGUGGUAGAGCGACUGUUUUACACACAGUAGGUCGGGGGUUCGAUCCCCUCAGUGCCCA
rnacentral:tRNA from 1 species